rnacentral:sRNA from 1 species
UUAUAUUCUCCGCCGGGGGGGAUGAGAACCCCCGACCGGGGUUCGACAACUGGCGCAGCCAGUUGGACAGACCGCGAGCGGGCUGCCCCGCAGGGGCGAGCGAAGCGAGUCAAUCCCCCCCUCACCGCCA